rnacentral:rRNA from 1 species
AUUGAACGCUGGCGGCAGGCUUAACACAUGCAAGUCGAGCGGGGAGAUGUAGCUUGCUACAUAUCCUAGCGGCGGACGGGUGAGUAAUGCUUAGGAAUCUGCCUAUUAGUGGGGGACAACAUUCCGAAAGGAAUGCUAAUACCGCAUACGCCCUACGGGGGAAAGCAGGGGAUCUUCGGACCUUGCGCUAAUAGAUGAGCCUAAGUCGGAUUAGCUAGUUGGUGGGGUAAAGGCCUACCAAGGCGACGAUCUGUAGCGGGUCUGAGAGGAUGAUCCGCCACACUGGGACUGAGACACGGCCCAGACUCCUACGGGAGGCAGCAGUGGGGAAUAUUGGACAAUGGGCGCAAGCCUGAUCCAGCCAUGCCGCGUGUGUGAAGAAGGCCUUUUGGUUGUAAAGCACUUUAAGCGAGGAGGAGGCUCCUUUAGUUAAUACCUAAAGAGAGUGGACGUUACUCGCAGAAUAAGCACCGGCUAACUCUGUGCCAGCCGCCGCCGUAAAAC